rnacentral:rRNA from 1 species
GCCUUCGGGUUGUAAAGCUCUUUCGCACGCGACGAUGAUGACGGUAGCGUGAGAAGAAGCCCCGGCUAACUUCGUGCCAGCAGCCGCGGUAAUACGAAGGGGGCUAGCGUUGUUCGGAAUUACUGGGCGUAAAGGGCGCGUAGGCGGUGUGUCAAGUCAGGCGUGAAAGCCCCGGGCUCAACCUGGGAACAGCGCUUGAGACUGGCACGCUCGAGUUCGGGAGAGGAUGGUGGAAUUCCCAGUGUAGAGGUGAAUUCGUAGAUAUUGGGAAGAACACCCGAUGGCGAAUGCAGCCAUCUGGACCGACACUGACGCUGAGGCGCGAAAAGCCGUGGGGAGCAAACAGGAUUAGAUACCCUGGUAGUCCCCGCCCGUAAACGAUGAGUGCUAAACGUCGGGGCCCUUUAGGGUUUCGGUGUCCCACUAACGCAUUAAGCACUCCCCCUGGGGGAGUCGGGCCGCAAGGUUAAAAUCAAAGGAAUUGACGGGGGCCCGCACAAGCGGUGGAACAUGGCGGUUUAAUUCGAAGGAACGAGCAGAA